ACGUGCGCGUGUGAGUUCUGUGCGCAUGCGUCUUCCUGUCGCUCCGGCUACAGCUGAAGUGAAGAAUGGCCCACCGACCUCAACACCCAGCAGGUGUGAAGAAGCACCACCUGACUGCCAUGUUCACCAUCACCGCUUCACGUUCACUCCACCAGCCCACAUUCCCUCCAAGAGGCUGGCUGCAGAUUCAGAGCUGCCUCUCCAAAGCCUCUGUGACCAGGUGACACAAGCACACCUGUCCUUGUCCCGUUGUGUCAGCACCAGUGGAGGAGCUUCUACAACUGACGUCAGGAGAGGUCUAACUAUCUGUAUACUAUUUACAGAGUGAAAGACGGGCACAUCACACGGAUCCGUCCCCAGGUGACUUCAGCCAUGCCCAGUUCAGCUGGACGUCAUCAUGCUCCUGCCACCUCUCAUACUGUCCUCUCCAGGUCUUCCCUCGUCUUCGUCCUGGCUGUGGCUGCAGCUUGGUGGCUGAUGGUCGUCUCUGUGCUGCUGUGGCCCCAAGGUGUCAUAUUUUACCCUUCACUACAACACAUCCUUCCCCAAGUUAUAUUUUAUGGAACAUGUGGAUUAUUUAGUCCAGAAUUUUACAUAUUUGAAAAUUUUAUAUUGUUUCAGAUAAUUUGAUCUAAAAAUAAACUUCAAGCAAAUCCUU